UAGGGAAUAUUGGACAAUGGGUGAGAGCCUGAUCCAGCCAUGCCGCGUGCAGGAUGACGGUCCUAUGGAUUGUAAACUGCUUUUGUACAGGAAGAAACAGUUCUACGUGUAGAACCUUGACGGUACUGUAAGAAUAAGGAUCGGCUAACUCCGUGCCAGCAGCCGCGGUAAUACGGAGGAUCCAAGCGUUAUCCGGAAUCAUUGGGUUUAAAGGGUCCGUAGGCGGUUAGAUAAGUCAGUGGUGAAAGCCCAUCGCUCAACGGUGGAACGGCCAUUGAUACUGUCUGACUUGAAUUAUUAGGAAGUAACUAGAAUAUGUAGUGUAGCGGUGAAAUGCUUAGAGAUUACAUGGAAUACCAAUUGCGAAGGCAGGUUACUACUAAUGGAUUGACGCUGAUGGACGAAAGCGUGGGUAGCGAGCAGGAUUAGAUACCCAAGUAGUCCCUGAGCGGGCUGGCAAGGCGCAU
rnacentral:rRNA from 1 species